AGAGCUCAAAUUUAAAAUCUGGCUGUCCUUGCGGCGGUCCGAGUUGUAGUUUAGAGAAGUGUUAUCCGCGCUGGCCUGUGCAAAAGUUUCUUGGAAAAGAACAUCAUAGAGGGUGACAAUCCCGUCUUUGGCACAGAUAACCGGGGCUUUUGUGAUGCGCUCUCAACGAGUCGUGUUGUUUGGGAAUGCAGCACUAAAUGGGUGGUAAAUUCCAUCUAAAGCUAAAUAUUGGCGAGAGACCGAUAGCGAA
rnacentral:rRNA from 1 species